GACGAACGCUGGCGGCAUGCCUAACACAUGCAAGUCGAACGAGACCUUCGGGUCUAGUGGCGCACGGGUGCGUAACGCGUGGGAACCUGCCCUUAGGUUCGGAAUAACUCCCCGAAAGGGGUGCUAAUACCGGAUAAUGUCUUCGGACCAAAGAUUUAUCGCCUUUGGAUGGGCCCGCGUUGGAUUAGCUAGUUGGUAGGGUAAAAGCCUACCAAGGCGACGAUCCAUAGCUGGUCUGAGAGGAUGAUCAGCCACACUGGGACUGAGACACGGCCCAGACUCCUACGGGAGGCAGCAGUGGGGAAUAUUGGACAAUGGGCGAAAGCCUGAUCCAGCAAUGCCGCGUGAGUGAUGAAGGCCUUAGGGUUGUAAAGCUCUUUUAACCGGGAUGAUAAUGACAGUACCGGGAGAAUAAGCUCCGGCUAACUCCGUG
rnacentral:rRNA from 1 species